rnacentral:rRNA from 1 species
GAUGAACGCUGGCGGCGUGCCUAAUACAUGCAAGUCGAGCGAACUUUUGGGAGCUUGCUCCCAUACUUUAGCGGCGGACGGGUGAGUAACACGUGGGUAACCUGCCCGUAAGACUGGGAUAACUUCGGGAAACCGGAGCUAAUACCGGAUAACAUUUCCGACCCCAUGGCCUUCAAUUAAAAGGUGGCUUUUAGCUACCACUUCCCGCUGGACCCGCGGCGCAUUAGCUAGUUGGUGCGGUCACGGCUCACCAAGGCGACGAUGCGUAGCCGACCUGAGAGGGUGGGCGGCCACACUGGGACGGAGACACGGCCCAGACUCCUACGGGAGGCAGCAGUAGGGAAACGUCAGGAAGGGACGAAAGACAGAGGGAGCAAGGCCGCGUGAGCGAAGAAGGACGUCGGGUCGGAAAGCUCUGUUGUUAGGGAAGAACAAGUAUCGUUCGAAGAGGGCGGGACAUUGACGGUACCUAACCAGAAAGCAACGGCUAACUACGUG